rnacentral:rRNA from 1 species
AUGGACGGCGGCGGUGGCGGCGGUGGCACAAGCGGCGACGACGGGAAGCAGGAGAAGCACCUGGUGCUUGCCCACAAGCUCUUCCUGCUCUCCCACCCCGAUGUUGACGACCUCUCGAAGGUCGACCUCCGCUCCGACGUCCUCUCCGCCGUCAAAUCCGAUGACAUGGCGCCGCUGUUCGAAUCGCUGGCCGCCGCGGGCGUGCUGGAGCCGGAUGCCGUGCUGCUCUCCGAGAUGCGCGCCCGGAUCGACGAGGAGAUCCGCAAGCUCGAUGAGAAAAUUGCCGAUGUUGAAGAGAAUUUGGGCGAGAGUGAAGUGCGUGAAGCCCAUCUUGCCAAGUCCUUGUACUUUGUAAAGGUUGGCGAGAAGGAAAAAGCACUGGAACAACUUAAAGUUACUGAAGGAAAAACUGUAGCCAUUGGCCAGAAGAUGGAUCUUGUGUUCUACACUUUGCAAAUUGGCCUUUUCUACAUGGACUUUGAUCUCAUCUCAAAAUCCAUUGAUAAGGCAAAGAAGUUGUUUGAGGAGGGAGGUGACUGGGAGAGAAAGAACAGAUUGAAAGUGUAUGAAGGCUUAUACUGCAUGGCAACCAGAAACUUCAAGAAAGCUACCAGCCUGUUUUUGGACUCCAUCUCAACUUUCACAACCUACGAGUUGUUUCCAUAUGACACUUUCAUCUUCUAUACAGUCCUCACAAGUAUCAUCUCAUUGGAUCGUGUAUCUCUAAAACAAAAGGUGGUGGAUGCACCGGAAAUCCUUGCAGUGAUUAGCAAAGUACCACACCUCUCAGAGUUUCUCAACUCUCUGUACAAUUGCCAGUACAAGUCAUUUUUUGUUGCAUUUUCUGGCUUGACGGAGCAGAUCAAGUUAGACCGUUAUCUUCAACCUCAUUUCCGCUACUAUAUGAGGGAAGUGCGCACUGUUGUCUACUCACAGUUUUUGGAGUCGUACAAGAGUGUGACAAUGGAAGCUAUGGCUUCUGCAUUUGGUGUGACUGUUGAUUUCAUAGACCAGGAACUUUCUCGCUUUAUUGCAGCUGGGAAGCUUCACUGCAAAAUUGACAAGGUCACUGGCGUUCUGGAGACAAACCGGCCUGAUGAAAGGAAUGCUUUCUACCAGUCGACCAUCAAGCAAGGGGACUUCUUGCUAAACCGCAUCCAGAAGCUAUCCCGAGUCAUUGAUCUGUAA